CACGUAGGGGGCGAGCGUUGUCCGGAUUUAUUGGGCGUAAAGAGCUCGUAGGCGGUUCGGCAAGUCGGGUGUGAAAUUUCGAGGCUCAACCUCGAAACGCCACUCGAUACUGCUGUGACUGGAGUCCGGUAGAGGAGUGCGGAAUUCCUGGUGUAGCGGUGAAAUGCGCAGAUAUCAGGAGGAACACCAGCAGCGAAGGCGGCGCUCUGGGCUGGAACUGACGCUGAGGAGCGAAAGCGUGGGUAGCAAACAGG
rnacentral:rRNA from 1 species